rnacentral:rRNA from 1 species
AUUGAACGCUGGCGGCAUGCUUUACACAUGCAAGUCGAACGGUAACAGGGAGCUUGCUCCGCUGACGAGUGGCGAACGGGUGAGUAAUGCAUCGGAACAUGCCCAGUCAUGGGGGAUAACUACGCGAAAGCGUAGCUAAUACCGCAUACGCCCUGAGGGGGAAAGUGGGGGGUCUUAGGACCUCACGUGAUUGGAGUGGCCGAUGUCAGAUUAGCUAGUUGGUGAGGUAAAGGCUCACCAAGGCGACGAUCUGUAGCGGGUCUGAGAGGAUGAUCCGCCACACUGGGACUGAGACACGGCCCAGACUCCUACGGGAGGCAGCAGUGGGGAAUUUUGGACAAUGGGCGCAAGCCUGAUCCAGCCAUGCCGCGUGAGUGAAGAAGGCCUC